rnacentral:rRNA from 1 species
CAAAGAACUUUGAAGAGAGAGUUCAAGAGGACGUGAAACUGUUUAGAAGGAAACGGGUAGAGCUGCGAAAUGCUCGGUCGAUUCAGGCAGUUGAGUUGUGCGUGCACUGGUUUGUAGAUCGUAAGACUACGGCUGGAUGUUCUGUACUUUUCGUCUGUUGCAUUUUGACCGAGUAGCACUAGCGGCCCUGAUGCGCCAGUAUUGCCUGCAGGUUGAAGGUGCUGUUUCGGCAGUUAUCGCACUGUGGAGUAGUACUCGUGUGUGUCACGGUUAUGAGCUGCAGAGACGUACGUGCGGUGUAUUGUCGUGGUUGAUGUAUGCGUGGCGACGUGCUAGCACGAGACUGCGUAUGCGCUGAUCAUCGGUGGUAAUCCGCUCUUUGCACUCGCUGGUGAACAAGUCAGUCACCUACCCGACCCGUCUUGAAACACGGACCAAGGAGUCUAACAUGUAUGCGAGUUGUAGGGUGUAAAACCUGAAGGCGCAAUGAAAGUAAAGUUUAACGAUACAGGAUUCGGGCAACCGAAGCACUGUAGUCCCGUUCUAUUUGCAUGUCAAAGGAGCGGCGAAAGAGCAUACACGUUGGGACCCGAAAGAUGGUGAACUAUGCCUGAGCAGGGCGAAGCCAGAGGAAACUCUGGUGGAGGCUCGAAACGGUUCUGACGUGCAAAUCGAUCGUCAGACUUGGGUAUAGGGGCGAAAGACUAAUCGAACCAUC